rnacentral:rRNA from 1 species
CACGUAGGGGGCAAGCGUUGUCCGGAUUUAUUGGGCGUAAAGAGCUCGUAGGCGGUUCGGUAAGUCGGGUGUGAAACCUCCAGGCUCAACCUGGAGAGGCCACCUGAUACUGCUGUGACUCGAGUCCGGUAGGGGAGCGUGGAAUUCCUGGUGUAGCGGCGAAAUGCGCAGAUAUCAGGAGGAACACCAGCGGCGAAGGCGGCGCUCUGGGCCGGAACUGACGCUGAGGAGCGAAAGCGUGGGUAGCAAACAGG